UUCUAACCCGCACCACUUAUCGUGGUGGGAGACAGUGUCAGGCGGGCAGUUUGACUGGGGCGGUCGCCUCCUAAAAGGUAACGGAGGCGCUCAAAGGUUCCCUCAGAAUGGUUGGAAAUCAUUCAUAGAGUAUAAAGGCAUAAGGGAGCUUGACUGCGAGACCUACAAGUCGAGCAGGGUCGAAAGACGGACUUAGUGAUCCGGUGGUUCCGCAUGGAAGGGCCAUCGCUC
rnacentral:rRNA from 1 species